CACAUGCAAGUCGAACGGUAACAUGAGUGCUUGCACUUGAUGACGAGUGGCGGACGGGUGAGUAAAGUAUGGGGAUCUGCCGAAUGGAAGGGGACAACAGUUGGAAACGACUGCUAAUACCGUAUAAUGUNGCGAGACCAAAGCAUGGGACUUUCGGGCCAUGCGCCAUUUGAUGAACCCAUAUGGGAUUAGCUAGUAGGUGGGGUAAGGGCUCACCUAGGCGACGAUCUCUAGCUGGUCUGAGAGGAUGACCAGCCACACUGGAACUGAGACACGGUCCAGACUCCUACGGGAGGCAGCAGUGGGGAAUAUUGCACAAUGGGGGGAACCCUGAUGCAGCCAUGCCGCGUGUAUGAAGAAGGCCUUCGGGUUGUAAAGUACUUUCGGUGAUGAGGAAGGCGGUGUAUCUAAUAGGUGCAUCGAUUGACGUUAAUCACAGAAGAAGCACCGGCUAACUCCGUGCCAGCAGCCGCGGUAAUACGGAGGGUGCGAGCGUUAAUCGGAAUGACUGGGCGUAAAGGGCAUGUAGGCGGAUAAUUAAGUUAGGUGUGAAAGCCCUGGGCUCAACCUAGGAAUUGCAUUUAAAACUGGUUAUCUGGAGUAUUGUAGAGGAAGGUAGAAUUCCACGUGUAGCGGUGAAAUGCGUAGAGAUGUGGAGGAAUACCGGUGGCGAAGGCGGCCUUCUGGACAGAUACUGACGCUGAGAUGCGAAAGCGUGGGGAGCAAACAGGAUUAGAUACCCUGGUAGUCCACGCUGUAAACGAUGUCGAUUUGGAGUUUGUUGCCUAGAGUGAUGGGCUCCGAAGCUAACGCGAUAAAUCGACCGCCUGGGGAGUACGGCCGCAAGGUUAAAACUCAAAUGAAUUGACGGGGGCCCGCACAAGCGGUGGAGCAUGUGGUUUAAUUCGAUGCAACGCGAAGAACCUUACCUGGUCUUGACAUCCACAAAUCUUGUAAAAUACGAGAGUGCUUCGGAACUGUGAGACAG
rnacentral:rRNA from 1 species